CCUUCGAUAGCUCAGUUGGUAGAGCGGUGGACUGUAGAAGAGAAAAAUAUAAAAACAAGAAAUCCAUAGGUCGCUGGUUCAAAUCCGGCUCGAAGGA
rnacentral:tRNA from 1 species